GCAUUUGCUUUCAGCCGCAGAGAGAAGAAGCUGCCCAAGAAUGGAAAGGAAGAAAUAUAUCACAUCAUCUGUCUGUCCACAGGCUUUCCUUUGGGCUUAUGGAGGUAUGCAGCUGAUAUGGAGAAUAUGCCAAGUCACCUGGAUGAGUCAGCACAGGCAACACAAAGAUCUGCAGGAUCUCCCCCUGUGAGAUGCAACUCAGCAGCUCUGUCCCCUCUGCCAUCUCAGCGCUGCCAGUGGAGAAGCCCAGGAGGAGCACAGAGCAGUGGCUGAGCAGCAAUCUGAAUAUUCGUAUUUAACUCUUCAAACAACAGAAGAUACUUCAAAACCAAGUUCUCACAUACUGACAAGGUGCUGCAAACACCCUGUGACAAAGAUCAGAGGGAAAUACUUAUUUGAAGAAAUCUUUGCCAUUAGCUGUAUUUAGAUGGGUUUGUAGAAGAGAACUAUCAAAUGGAAAACUCAGGACUGGGCAGACAGACCUGCUCCACUGACAGUAGGCAGCACACAACAGUCACCUGUCUGUGAACAUGUUGUCAGCAGAAGGUUUGAAGUUAUGGAUGAGACCAGCAAAUUGAGUGAAUGUUUUGGUGUUCUGCCAGAAGGGCUAUAUUCUGACUGUUGUUUGACAGAGGCAAACAUGAGUAACCCUACUCUCUUCUUACACUUGAGACACUGAAAAAAGCUGAAAGAUAAUUGAAGAGGAAAAAAACCCUGUAUAAAAUUGAACAGCAAACUCUGUGUACAUCUGUGUGCACAUACAAGUGCACACGCAUGUACUGCUGCUGGCGUGCUUGUUUUCAAGUGGAGAUUUCAGUGAUGGUCGAUUUAACAUAAACUUGAAGUGUACAACAGACUGUUUUGUGUGGCCUGCUGCUUAUUUCAUGAGCUGUUCUUUCCCAUUUCAAGCAAGCGUAAUGUGCUGCAGCGCUGUCAGCACCCCACCAGUCUCGUGAUUGGGAUGCGAUACUGAAAUUCCAGGAGGUCUUUUCCCACUGAUGACUUGGAGCAGAAGCGACUUUGGUGGCAAAGGGGCUGCACUGGGGCCAGCCAGGCUCUUGAGGUGGUCCAUGGCAGUGGGAAACAUCAGUGGCCCUGGAGUUCCUGCAGGUGUUGAACAUCCAAAGGUCUCCGGCAAUGUUGCAUCCACACAUGUCAUGUGCAUCCAGCUGCAUGAGCGCAGUGUGUGUUUGUUCGUCUGGCUGCCAGACACACGGUGACUGGGGCUGGGGAGGGCAGCUCUGGGGCUGCUCUGGGUGCUGGAGCUGCUGAGAUCCCCCCCAUCCCUAUGGCUCUGCACAGUCCCCUGAGCUGUGUGAAGCUACACAAAGUUUCCUCUAAUCAUGAAUUUAAUAUGCUUUCAGACUUGACAAUCUCCUUUUAAAUGAAAACAUUUAUGUGGAGCAAAAGGCAUGUUAGCCUCUCCAAAUAAAUGGAAUUAUGGUUCCAAGAUCUGACUUAAUCCUGAAGCUCUUACACUGUACAGUAAGUAGAAAAGAAAGAGGAUUGCUUAUUGGAGGAUGGGUUAGCAGGAUCAGGCUCCAUUUUAUAUCAUUUCACUCAUUUUCCUUCUGGUAUUUAAUCUACCUUUUUCAGAACUCCCACUGGCUGUUCAUAACAAAGUCAAAGUAACUUCACAGCUAUUACCUAUUGGCAAACACUAAUAAUUGAGAAUAAUGAGGGGUGGUACAGAGAGUGCCCACCCAGCUUUCCUUCUAGGAAAAUGUGAGGAUUGUUAAACAAACCAAAAAUGCCAUUCUUCCAGAUGUAUUUUCAUCAUAAAGUCAUGUCCUUUAAAAAUCGAUUUCAAGAUGUUUCUCAAAUGCAUUGUAACUAUUUAUUCUUUUUCUAACUGUUUUCUUUGUGAAACUGUAUUUUAAAUCUGCAUUUAUGUUUCAAACAAUCUGAGGGAAGAUGUUCAUGAAGUAAUGGUGCUGUUUGUAUUUGUUCUGUUUCUCAAAAUAGAAUUUCUGAUCAGAUAACAUUAAAAUAUUUUUGUAUUAGUUUUCAUUUGUUUUCAUGACAUUUAUAUCUUUCUAGUUAUGAUUUUGGUGCCUGAUCCCAUGUUACCAGGCUAAUUAAGUGGGAUCAAAUGUUUCAUUGUUCCUGGAAGUCAGCCAGUUCUAUGACCCCACUGCUGGUCUUGGUACUAUCUGAAUUCAGUGAUUUGGAUUUUGAUUUAUUUUUUUUUCUGCUAAAGCCCUGAGGUACCUUUAUUCCAGUUGGUAGAUUGCAUAUCCAGGACAUCUAAAGCUCAAAAAGCCUGGGCAAGAAGAGUAGUUUGUUUAGUGGAUGCAUUCAAAUGAGUCUCCAACAAAAACUAAAAUGAAGACUGAAUGAAAUUUAUUAUGGCAAAGUUUCCUUUGUGGGCUGCAAAAAAAUAUGUACAGAGAAUUGGACAAAGAAAGUUUUGCAAACUUCACUUCAAAGAUGAACGUCUUUUGGAAACAAAAAAAUAUUUCAAAAAAUCCUCCUGAAAGAUGAGACUCAAAUUUUCCUGUGCAAAAAGGAUACUUGGCCCAUAGUUUGUACACUGCAAUAUUUGUUUCUUCCUUCUGCCUAGGCUAACUGGAUGUAAUGGGCAGUUCUGCAAUCUACCGCCUGCACCUCCUGUCCCCUCAUUCCUUAUGGCACCUUCCCGUCCCUCCCUCUAUCCGACAGAACAAGGGAAUGGCUUUCUGCCAGCUCAGCCUGCAGACCUGGCUCAGUACAGGACCUGGCUGGGGCUCCCACCUGCCAAAGCCCCAUGGGGAGCCCAGGGGCACCCUCGGGCUGUUUGGGCAGGUCGGAGCUGGUGAAACCCUUCAUUGUCACUGGGACUGGGCGGGUGGUGGUGGCCUGCAUCAGCCCACAUCCCACCUGACCCAUCCUACCUGCACGUGUGGGGUGGUCUUGUGCAUACAUCGCUUUCUUGAAAGACGAUCAGUUUUUGUGUACACAGCCAACCCGAGACAGAAAUACAGGGGAUUUCCAAGCAGCACCUCCACCCCAUUUCAGGGUCUGGCUCUUGCUGCUGUAAAUCUGGAGUGAAAUGAACAGUCCGUGGUAAGAACAUAAAGCAGUGUUUUAACCUUUUUCCAUUAAAAAUGAUCAAAAGCAACAUUUAGAAUUAAAAGAAAAUGGCUAUUUUUUUUUUUCCCCUGACAGAGAUGUUGUGUGAAACGUUUUAGCCAGUUCCAAGUUGAAACCAGCUUUUUCUUUUUAGAUUCAAAUUUAAACUAGUUUCUAUUCAAAGUUUUUAAAGGGACGUAUACAACAUCAUUCUUGAGCAUGACAUCUGAGUCUCACCCCCUACCAGGAAGGAUACCUUAACGUCCCUGUUGCUGAAAAGAUGAAAGAGAAAAAUAGCUUGGUUUUUUGUGCUUCACUUCACACGGUCACUUGGUACUGCUUGGAGUAAAGUGAGUUUAUUGUAACUUCUCUGCUUUGUGUUUCACCUUUCAGUUUGUGUGGGACUUUCUGUAGCUAUAUGGACAUUGGAAAAAAUGAAAAAGCAAGGAAAAGUCUGCCCUCAGAAAAAUCACAACAUGGAUUUUAUGGGCUACACGGGCUAGACACAGGUGGGCUAUGUGAAAAGAAGAUUGUUUUGUAGAUGAUUUUGGGGAGCAUCAGGUUAUCAAUGUCUCUCUAAAAAAAAAUAAAUAAUUAAAAUAAUCAAGC
ensembl:lncRNA